GCAGGUUGAAGCGCGGGUAAGACCGCGUGGAGGACCGAACCCACCUGGGUUGAAAACCGGGGGGAUGACCUGGGGCUAGGGGUGAAAGGCCAAUCAAAUUCCGUGAUAGCUGGUUCUCUCCGAAAUGCAUUUAGGUGCAGCGUCGGUCGAUUGCGUCGCGGGGGUAGAGCUACCGGAUGCUUGCGGGCCCUUGUUGGGUACCAACAGCAGCCGAACUCCGAAUACCGUUGACGUGUAUUCCGGCAGUGAGUCGGCGGGGGAUAAGCUCCGUCGUCGAGAGGGAGACAGCCCAGACCGUCGUCUAAGGUCCCGAAGCGUGUGCUAAGUGGGAAAGGAUGUGGAGUCGCAUAGACAGCCAGGAGGUUGGCUCAGAAGCAGCCAUCCUUGAAAGAGUGCGUAACAGCUCACUGGUCUAGUGGUUCCGCGCCGACAAUGUAGCGGGGCUCAAGCACACCACCGAAGACGCGGCAGCAAUCUUCAUGGUUGCUGGGUAGGAGAGCGUCCUGCGAGGGGCGAAGCGGCCGGGUAACCGUGCCGUGGACUUCGUGGGAGUGAGAAUGCAGACAUGAGUAGCGAGAGACGGGUGAGGAUCCCGUCCGCUGGAUGACCAAGGGUUCCGGGGCCACGUUCGUCGUCCCCGGGUGAGUCGGGUCCUAAGGCGAGGCCGACAGGCGUAGUCGAAUGGAUGAACGGGUGGAUAUUCCCGUACCGACCAUGGACCGGCAAAACCGAGACGGUGAGUACUAACCUCCGCCUCGUGGUGGUUCCUUCCUUCGGGUUGGUAUCGCCGCGUGGUGUUGGGAGCGUAGCCGCAGUAGGUCAGCGCAGGGGUGACACGGAAUGGGAGCCGGCCGCGGAGGUGGUUUUCCGUGGUCAAGCACGCAGCCAGUCAUGUAGGCAAAUCCGCAUGGCGCGCAUGGCGAGGUGUGAUGAUGGGAGCCGUUAUGGUUCGAUAUCCGGUUGUCCAGGCCGUCGAGAAAAGCCUCGGCGUGAGGGCCAUGGCCGCCCGUACCCCAAACCGACACUGGUGGUCAGGUAGAGAAUACCAAGGCGAUCGAGCGAAUCCUGGUCAAGGAACUCGGCAAAUCACUCCCGUGCCUUCGGUAUAAGGGAGACCCACUGGGGUGAAGGACCUUGCGUCCGGAGCUUUGGUGGGUGGCACAGACCAGGGGGUAGCGACUGUUUACCAAAAACACAGGUGCAUGCGAAGGCGAAAGCCGCUGUAUAUGCACUGACGCCUGCCCGGUGCCGGAAGGUUAAGAGGAUCCGUCAAUCCUUCGGGAUGAAGCGGUGAAUUCAAGCCCCGGUAAACGGCGGUGGUAACUAUAACCAUCCUAAGGUAGCGAAAUUCCUUGUCGGGUAAGUUCCGACCUGCACGAAUGGCGUAACGA
rnacentral:rRNA from 1 species